UCUCUAUUUACCACACUCUCUCGCCGGUCAGAGUGCCGAUAGAGUGUGUUAAAUGAAGAGA
rnacentral:pre_miRNA from 1 species